CACCCGAAGCCCAUGGCCCAACCCUUGUGGGGGGAGUGGUCGAAGGUGGGACUGGCGAUUGGGACGAAGUCGUAACAAGGUAGCCGUACCGGAAGGUGCGGCUGGAUCACCUCCUUUCUAAGGAGCA
rnacentral:rRNA from 1 species